CGUCGAGUGGCGGACGGGUGAGUAAUACUUAGGAAUCUGCCCAUUAGUGGGGGACAACUAGAAGAAAUUCUAGCUAAUACCGCGUACGCCCCACGGGGGAAAGCGGGGGAUCUUCGGACCUCGCGCUAAUGGAUGAGCCUAAGUCGGAUUAGCUUGUUGGUGAGGUAAAGGCUCACCAAGGCGACGAUCCGUAGCUGGUCUGAGAGGACGACCAGCCACACUGGGACUGAGACACGGCCCAG
rnacentral:rRNA from 1 species